AUAGCUGUUUUCAGAAAACUCAGAAAUUCCUAAGGGUUCGCCGGGUUGCGGGGAAGGUGGGGCGCUGUGCGCCGUUGGUGGGAUGUAAGAUGGUGCAGUGGCCGUGGAGAUAGCCCCGGGAUUGCUCGAGACAGUAACAUGGAAUUACCGUGAGAGCCGGUGAUGCCGCUUCUGGGGAUAUACCCAGAACAGGGUCUCAGGGGUGUGUCCCCCCGUGUUCACAGCAGCAUCACUCACAAAGCCCGACGGGGGAAGCCCCACGGUCCGCUGACGGAUAAAGGUGUCGAUAGUGUGCACACGUCCCAUGGGAUGCUGUUCAGCCGUGAAAGGAAGGGGAUUCUGACACCUCGCGCAACAUGGAUGGACCCUGAGGACAUCACGCUCGGUGAACCAAGCCAGUCACACAAGGACGGACGCCGCACGAUUCCACUCUUGUGAGGCCACCACGGGAGCGACGUCUGCAGAGACGGAAAGCGGCCUGGCGGGGGCGGGAGCCCGAGUUGAACGGGGACGGUUUCAGUUUUGCAAGAUGCAAGGAGCUCAGCGAUGUGAAUGCAUUAGUGCCACGAAACUACACUUAAAAACGGAAGAUCAGCCCUGAGCUAACAGCUGUGCCACUCUUCCUCGACUUUGCAUGUGGGAUGCCGCCACAGCAUGGCUGAUGAGUGGAGCUUAAGAAAUAUCCAUAGACCUGAUUUUGGACUUGAUAGCAGACACAGCAUGUGUGCCCCUCAAAUUCCUCUUCAAGGAAGGAUUUGCUGCUUGGUUGCAAGGAGUUCAGUCAGUAAACAGACUCCAGCUGUCGGUUCCUUCAGUCUGCUCAGCUGCCACGGGCUGUCUCACUCAAGGCACUCCCCUCCUGGAGAGCCCACACUCAGUGACCAAGACAGGUAAGGCUGUAAAGGCCUGGCCAUUUCCCACCAACAUGGGACAAGCCCAAGGGGCAACAUGUGCUCAGAACUCCACACCUGCCAGGUUGCCAAAGAGCUCUGUCAGGCAUGACUGCCCUUUGACUUCUUCCUCUGCUCAUUCCUUGCAGCGCAAUCUCCAUCUCAGGGGCUCCUUCUGGAGAACCCAACCUGCAAAAAACUAUUCUCUCCUAUUAUCUAUUUGAUCCUUGUUCUAUUACUGAACUGUUUUAAUUUCCUUCUUCAAAAUUUUCUUGGCUAUCUUUGUACAUUUUUUUCUUUCACAUAAACUUAAGAAUCAGCUUGUUGAGUUCCAUAAACAACUUGGUUGGGAUUUUAAUUAGGACUGCAGUCCGUUUAUGAACUACACUGGAGAGAACUGG